rnacentral:lncRNA from 1 species
GAUGAAAACUGGAGACAAAAUGCAUGAGACCAACAUUGUAGAGAAAGACUUUUUUCCAACUGAACUGAGUGUAAAUCCAGCCUCCAGCCAGAAAUUUGUGACUGUAAUUUCCUCACUCUACUAUGGACUUCUCAAUGGUGGCUGCAUCUGUAAGACAGUGAAGCAGGAGGAAAGAGAGCAAGGAGGAAAGAAAAAGCAAAGGGUUUGGUCCACCUUCUUAGAAUCACAGCUGUAUCAAAUGGAGAGGAUGGUUCACCUCCCUCAGGAUUUCAGCUAUUAGGUGUCAUAGUUGCCACAGCCCUGCCAUCUUGAGAUUGCCUGAGGUCUGAGGCAUACCAGAAGAGAAUGGAGUAUUUUCAUAUUCUCCCUCUGUGUUAGGAGCUCAUUUUCCUACUCAAACCAGAGCUAGACUGCCUCUCCUGGAGCUCUCUCUGUCUCUGCCCUAAGGGAUGCUCAAUACAGGUUUCUAGGUAUGUUGUAUUCUGGGUACUGAUACUGCAGGUUGGAGGAGAUGUAAAUUCAACACUGGUUGAUUUGGUGGUAACUUGAAUUCUGGUGUUCUCAAUAUGAUUCCUUCUACUAGAUAGUUUUUCUUUUAUUUAUUUGCUUUUUAGGCCCACACCUGAGGCAUAUAUAAGUUCCCAAGCUAGGGGUGAAAUCAGAGCUACUGCUGCCAGCCUAUGCCACAGCCAUAGCAACUUGGAAUAUGAGCCACAUCUGCGAUCUACACCACAGCUCACGGCAAUACCAGAUUCCCAGCCAACUGGGUGAGGCCAGGGAUCGAACCUGCAUGCUCAUGGAUACUGGUCAGACUCAUUUCCACUGUACCACAAUGGUAGCUCCUACUAGAUAGUUUUUAGAGUCUUUAAUAGGGGAGACACUAUGUGGUGUGCUAAUUCCACUUACAUUGAACCAUAAUCACCCAUUUGUUGGGUGUUUGUUGAAUACUUUCUAUUCAUAGGCACUGACCUAGAUUCUGGUGGUACAAUGGCAAGCAAAAAGACAAGGCUCUGUCCCAGAUGAAGCUUACCAUUAAAUGACAAAAGAUUUUUAUUAAUCAUCCUUCCUUUUUUAACACAACUUUUUUUUGCCUUUGGCCUUUUUCAAAUCAGUGCCCACCUCCCAAUAAGGUUUUUUGAUUGGUCUAUCCUCUUCUACUCAGAAAUACUCAUGGAUAUCUAAAUUUUAUAGUUGAGACCUAACCUGAGACUUCUAUUCUGUUCUGUAAGGUAUAUAAAUUUAUCAUCACGACCUAACAGAGAAAACUACCUUCUAAAAGACUUCAAAGACUUCAGAUGUCCGGUAGGAAAUAAGAGGCAUAGAAAUCAUUGCUCCCAUCUAUAC